GACCACCACGAUGUCGUUCUCUCACACCGACUUCUUCAAGAGGGAAGCAGAUACAUUUGAACUGAAGCGGUGUCUGGGCCUAGUAAUCUCGUGAAACACCAUGCCUAUCUGGAUACUGAAAGAAUGGAAGGUUUUAGGAAAGCCUUUGUAUCUUGGUACAACUUGAUUUUAGUUACCAACGUGACUAAUGAUGUAUCGUUAAGGUAUGUCACGUUGACCGGUGACAUACUACUUUAGCUUGGUUGCAAUGGCGGGCUAGCGAUGAGCUGAAACCACAAACGUGGUUUGGUGAUGAAACAACACUUUAAAAGGUUGCGAUUUCUGCACUUGAGUGGAAGGACUCGUCCAACACAUGUGGAGGGAGCAAGGAGACACUCCAAGGGUGACGAGAACCUCCUGAUGGUCCUUUGGAACGUUAAGAGACUGUAUUAGUUGUUACUUUGCAAACAAAGGUGCUCCCAGGCAAUGACCAUCACCCCACUCCCAACUUUUACCAGAGGUGGAAUGACUCGUCCAACACAUGUGGAGGGAGCAAGGAGACACUCUAAGGGUGACGAGAUGACCUCCUGAUAGUCCUUUGGAACGGUUCGCCAAGGAAAUGGCCCUCGCCCCCGAUUUCAACUUUUACCUGAGGUGCUCCCAGGCAAUGACCGUCACCCCACUCCCAACUUUUACCAGAGGUGGAAGGACUCGUCCAACACAUGUGGAGGGAGCAAGGAGACACUCUAAGGGUGACGAGAUGACCUCCUGAUAGUCCUUUGGAACGGUUCGCCAAGGAAAUGGCCCUCGCCCCCGAUUUCAACUUUUACCUGAGGUGCUCCCAGGCAAUGACCGUCACCCCACUCCCAACUUUUACCAGAGGUGGAAGGACUCGUCCAACACAUGUGGAGGGAGCAAGGAGACACUCCCAGGGUGACAAUUAACAUCGUGAUUGUUCCAAGUCCUGAUGGUCCUUUGGAAUGGUCCUCCAAGGCAAUGACCAUCACCCCAACUUAAACUUUUACCUGAGGGUGACCCUGCACAAGGAACAAUGGUUAACUGGCGAUCCAGGGGGAUGUCUACAUUGGCUGCAUGAAGACCUGGGAGCCAGAGGAUGACUGCCAGCUGUUUCAGUUUUUGGAACGUGUGACUUUCUACUUAAAUAAAGUUCAAAAUCCAUACAGAACUGUACCUUGCAUGAGUUUAACAGUAUACAUUUCACAUCACUUCAAUUCUUCAAUGUCCCUGAAUAUCAUAGUUGUCAACUAGAUGCAGAAUAAAAACAUUGUGUUCAAAACCACUGCUAAACUUGGUUGCGGUAAAGCCAGAGUUCCUGUGGGGUCUAGAGUUUUAAUUCUGAACUUGAAAUGCAAGGCCUUAGAACGGACAGUUUUUCAUCCAAAUUCUUACAUUUAAUUUAGUCAAAGGUUUUACCCUUAAUGUCCAGAAAUGCUGGCUGCAGAAAGUUACAAGUAGCAAAAAGUUGCGUCAUAGCCUACAAAAGUGGAGCUCUAGAGGGUAUGAUUUACGGGGGGGUCAAAUUGGUCUGAACGCUCUUCUUACAGCUCAAUUUUUCAUGGACAUAACUCAGUUGAAUUUCUUUUUAGACCCCUGUAGUCUCAGCACGCUCCCUGACUGUCUCUAGAUCCCUUUUCCCAACUAUCGAAUUGUGAUUUCAAUAUAUGCUUAUAUAAAUAAAAUUGAGAAUCACUUGAAGACUAA